UACGUAGGGUGCAAGCGUUAAUCGGAAUUACUGGGCGUAAAGCGUGCGCAGGCGGUUUUGUAAGUCUGAUGUGAAAUCCCCGGGCUCAACCUGGGAAUUGCAUUGGAGACUGCAAGGCUAGAAUCUGGCAGAGGGGGGUGGAAUUCCACGUGUAGCAGUGAAAUGCGUAGAGAUGUGGAGGAACACCGAUGGCGAAGGCAGCCCCCUGGGUUAACACUGACGCUCAGGCACGAAAGCGUGGGGAGCAAACAGG
rnacentral:rRNA from 1 species